rnacentral:rRNA from 1 species
UGGGGAGAAGACAUUGUGUCUUCGAGUCGUUGAUUUCACACUGCCGAGAAAAGCCUCUAGAUAGAAAAUAGGUGCCCGUACCGCAAACCGACACAGGUAGUCAAGAUGAGAAUUCUAAGGUGAGCGAGCGAACUCUCGUUAAGGAACUCGGCAAAAUGACCCCGUAACUUCGGGAGAAGGGGUGCUCUUUAGGGUUAACGCCCAGAAGAGCCGCAGUGAAUAGGCCCAAGCGACUGUUUAUCAAAAACACAGGUCUCUGCUAAACCGUAAGGUGAUGUAUAGGGGCUGACGCCUGCCCGGUGCUGGAAGGUUAAGAGGAGUGGUUAGCUUCUGCGAAGCUACGAAUCGAAGCCCCAGUAAACGGCGGCCGUAACUAUAACGGUCCUAAGGUAGCGAAAUUCCUUGUCGGGUAAGUUCCGACCCGCACGAAAGGCGUAACGAUUUGGGCACUGUCUCAACGAGAGACUCGGUGAAAUCAUAGUACCUGUGAAGAUGCAGGUUACCCGCGACAGGACGGAAAGACCCCGUGGAGCUUUACUGUAGCC